rnacentral:rRNA from 1 species
UACGUAGGGUGCAAGCGUUAUCCGGAUUCACUGGGUUUAAAGGGUGCGUAGGUGGGUCUGUAAGUCAGUGGUGAAAUCCCCGAGCUUAACUUGGGAACUGCCGUUGAUACUAUAGAUCUUGAAUAUCGUGGAGGUAAGCGGAAUAUGUCAUGUAGCGGUGAAAUGCUUAGAUAUGACAUAGAACACCAAUUGCGAAGGCAGCUUACUACACGAUCAUUGACACUGAGGCACGAAAGCGUGGGGAGCAAACAGG